AGUGAACGCUGGCGGUAGGCCUAACACAUGCAAGUCGAACGGCAGCACAGUAAGAGCUUGCUCUUACGGGUGGCGAGUGGCGGACGGGUGAGGAAUACAUCGGAAUCUACUUUUUCGUGGGGGAUAACGUAGGGAAACUUACGCUAAUACCGCAUACGACCUACGGGUUAAAGCAGGGGAUCUUCGGACCUUUCGCGAUUGAAUGAGCCGAUGUCGGAUUAGCUAGUUGGCGGGGUAAAGUCCCACCAAGGCGACGAUCCGUAGCUGGUCUGAGAGGAUGAUCAGCCACACUGGAACUGAGACACGGUCCAGACUCCUACGGGAGGCAGCAGUGGGGAAUAUUGGACAAUGGGCGCAAGCCUGAUCCAGCCAUACCGCGUGGGUGAAGAAGGCCUUCGGGUUGUAAAGCCCUUUUGUUGGGAAAGAAAAGCAGCAGGUUAAUACCCCGCUGUUCUGACGGUACCCAAAGAAUAAGCACCGGCUAACUUCGUG
rnacentral:rRNA from 1 species